rnacentral:rRNA from 1 species
AACAAAGAGUCCCUCCCGACUGUUUACCAAAAACACAGCACUCUGCUAACUCGUAAGAGGAUGUAUAGGGUGUGACGCCUGCCCGGUGCUCGAAGGUUAAUUGAUGACGUUAGCUCUGCGAAGCGUUUGAUCGAAGCCCGAGUAAACGGCGGCCGUAACUAUAACGGUCCUAAGGUAGCGAAAUUCCUUGUCGAUUAAAUAUCGACCUGCAUGAAUGGCGUAACGAGAUGGGAGCUGUCUCGAAGAGGGAUCCAGUGAAAUUGUAGUGGAGGUGAAAAUUCCUCCUACCCGCGGCAAGACGGAAAGACCCCGUGGACCUUUACUACAGCUUGACACUGCUACUUGGAUAAAGAUGCGCAGGAUAGGUGGGAGGCUUUGAUUCGUAGAUCUCGGUUUACGAUGAGCCAUUGUUGAGAUACCACCCUUCUUUAUUCGGGUAGCUAACUAGCCUAAGUUAUCCUUAGGUAGGACAAUGUCUGGUGGGUAGUUUGACUGGGGCGGUCGCCUCCCAAAAUGUAACGGAGGCUUACAAAGGUUGGCUCAAAGCGGUUGGAAAUCGCUUGUAGAGUAUAAAGGCAAAAGCCAGCUUAACUGCGAGACAUACACGUCGAGCAGAGACGAAAGUCGGUCUUAGUGAUCCGGUGGUUCUGUGUGGAAGGGCCAUCGCUCAAAGGAUAAAAGGUACCCCGGGGAUAACAGGCUGAUCUCCCCCAAGAGCUCACAUCGACGGGGAGGUUUGGCACCUCGAUGUCGGCUCAUCGCAUCCUGGGGCUGGAGCAGGUCCCAAGGGUAUGGCUGUUCGCCAUUUAAAGCGGUACGCGAGCUGGGUUCAGAACGUCGUGAGACAGUUCGGUCCCUAUCUGCCGUGGGCGCAAGAAGAUUGAGGAGAGUUGACCCUAGUACGAGAGGACCGGGUUGAACCGACCACUGGUGUACCAGUUAUCCUGCCAAGGGUAGCGCUGGGUAGCUAUGUCGGGAUGAGAUAACCGCUGAAAGCAUCUAAGCAGGAAGCCAACUCCAAGAUGAAUCUUCUUUUAAGAGCUCUUAUAGACUAUAAGUUUGAUAGGCCGGGUGUGUAAUGGAUGAAAGUCCUUUAGCUGACCGGUACUAAU